AAGUCGUAACAAGGUUUCCGUAGGUGAACCUGCGGAAGGAUCAUUACCGAGUAAGGGUGCCUAAUCGCGCCCGACCUCCAACCCUUUGUCUACUUAACCAAAAUGUUGCUUCGGCAGGCCCGCCCUUCGGGGCCACCGGGGGUCCUCAUACGACCCCGGGUCCGCGUCUGUCGAUGGCCCCAACCAAACUAUUGUUAAAACGUGUCAUCUGAGUUAUCUAAACAAAUGAAAUUAAAACUUUCAACAACGGAUCUCUUGGUUCUG
rnacentral:misc_RNA from 1 species